UCCGAGUUGACCCCGGCAGUCUCCCAUGAGUCCCCACCACCAAAAGCGUGCUGGCAACAUAGGAUAAGGGUUGCGCUCGUUGCGGGACUUAACCCAACAUCUCACGACACGAGCUGACGACAACCAUGCACCACCUGUGUACGAGUGUCCAAAGAGAACCCCAUCUCUGGGGCUUUCUCGUACAUGUCAAGCCUUGGUAAGGUUCUUCGCGUUGCUUCGAAUUAAUCCGCAUGCUCCGCCGCUUGUGCGGGCCCCCGUCAAUUCCUUUGAGUUUUAGCCUUGCGGCCGUACUCCCCAGGCGGGGCACUUAAUGCGUUAGCUUCGGCACGGAGGGAGUCGACACCCCCCACACCUAGCACUCAUCGUUUACGGCGUGGACUAC
rnacentral:misc_RNA from 1 species